GCGUUGUCCGGAAUUAUUGGGCGUAAAGAGCUCGUAGGCGGCUUGUCGCGUCUGCUGUGAAAACUGGAGGCUCAACCUCCAGCCUGCAGUGGGUACGGGCAAGCUAGAGUGCGGUAGGGGAGAUUGGAAUUCCUGGUGUAGCGGUGGAAUGCGCAGAUAUCAGGAGGAACACCGAUGGCGAAGGCAGAUCUCUGGGCCGUUACUGACGCUGAGGAGCGAAAGCAUG
rnacentral:rRNA from 1 species